rnacentral:rRNA from 1 species
GACGAACGCUGGCGGCGUGCUUAACACAUGCAAGUCGAACGGAAACGCCCUGCUUUUGUGGGGUUCUCGAGUGGCGAACGGGUGAGUAACACGUGAGUGACCUGCCCUUGACUUUGGGAUAACUUCAGGAAACUGGGGCUAAUACCGGAUAGUAGCUCCUGCUGCAUGGUGGGGGUUGGAAAGUUUCGGCGGUUGGGGAUGGACGCGCGGCUUAUCAGCUUGUUGGUGGGGUAGUGGCUUACCACGGCUUUGACGGGUAGCCGGCCUGAGAGGGGGGACGGCGUCAUGGCGACUGCGAGACGGCGCAGACUGCUAUGGGGGGCAGCAGUGGGGAAUAUUGCGCAAUGAGCGGGAGCCUGAUGCGGCAACGCCGCGGGCGGGAUGAAGGCCUUCGGGUUGUAAACCGCUUUCGCCUGUGACGAAGCGUGAUUGACGGUAAUGGGUAAAGAAGCACCGGCUAACUACGUG